rnacentral:rRNA from 1 species
GACGAACUUUGGCGGCGUGCUUAACACAUGCAAGUCGAACGGAAAGGCCCUGCUUUUGUGGGGUGCUCGAGUGGCGAACGGGUGAGUAACACGUGAGUAACCUGCCCUUGACUUUGGGAUAACUUCAGGAAACUGGGGCUAAUACCGGAUAGGAGCUCCUGCUGCAUGGUGGGGGUUGGAAAGUUUCGGCGGUUGGGGAUGGACUCGCGGCUUAUCAGCUUGUUGGUGGGGUAGUGGCUUACCAAGGCUUUGACGGGUAGCCGGCCUGAGAGGGUGACCGGCCACAUUGGGACUGAGAUACGGCCCAGACUCCUACGGGAGGCAGCAGUGGGGAAUAUUGCACAAUGGGCGGAAGCCUGAUGCAGCAACGCCGCGUGCGGGAUGACGGCCUUCGGGUUGUAAACCGCUUUCGCCUGUGACGAAGCGUGAGUGACGGUAAUGGGUAAAGAAGCACCGGCUAACUACGUGCCAGCAGCCGCGGUGAUACGUAGGGUGCGAGCGUUGUCCGGAUUUAUUGGGCGUAAAGGGCUCGUAGGUGGUUGAUCGCGUCGGAAGUGUAAUCUUGGGGCUUAACCCUGAGCGUGCUUUCGAUACGGGUUGACUUGAGGAAGGUAGGGGAGAAUGGAAUUCCUGGUGGAGCGGUGGAAUGCGCAAAUAUCAGGAGGAACACCAGUGGCGAAAGCGGUUCUCUGGGCUUUUCCUGACGCUGAGGAGCGAAAGCGUGGGGAGCGAACAGGCUUAGAUACCCUGGUAGUCCACGCUGUAAACGGUGGGUACUAGGUGUGGGGUCCAUUCCACGGGUUCCGUGCCGUAGCUAACGCUUUAAGUACCCCGCCUGGGGAGUACGGCCGCAAGGCUAAAACUCAAAGGAAUUGACGGGGCCCCGCACAAGCGGCGGAGCAUGCGGAUUAAUUCGAUGCAACGCGUAGAACCUUACCUGGGUUUGACAUGGAUCGGGAGUGCUCAGAGAUGGGUGUGCCUCUUUUGGGGUCGGUUCACAGGUGGUGCAUGGCUGUCGUCAGCUCGUGUCGUGAGAUGUUGGGUUAAGUCCCGCAACGAGCGCAACCCUUGUUCACUGUUGCCAGCACGUUAUGGUGGGGACUCAGUGGAGACCGCCGGGGUCAACUCGGAGGAAGGUGGGGAUGACGUCAAGUCAUCAUGCCCCUUAUGUCCAGGGCUUCACGCAUGCUACAAUGGCUGGUACAGAGAGUGGCGAGCCUGUGAGGGUGAGCGAAUCUCGGAAAGCCGGUCUCAGUUCGGAUUGGGGUCUGCAACUCGACCUCAUGAAGUCGGAGUCGCUAGUAAUCGCAGAUCAGCAACGCUGCGGUGAAUACGUUCCCGGGGCU